rnacentral:rRNA from 1 species
AUUGAACGCUGGCGGCAUGCCUUACACAUGCAAGUCGAACGGCAGCGGACCUUCGGGUGCCGGCGAGUGGCGAACGGGUGAGUAAUAUAUCGGAACGUACCUUUCAGUGGGGGAUAACGUAGCGAAAGUUACGCUAAUACCGCAUAUUCUGUGAGCAGGAAAGCAGGGGAUCGCAAGACCUUGCGCUGAUUGAGCGGCCGAUAUCAGAUUAGCUAGUUGGUGAGGUAAAGGCUCACCAAGGCGACGAUCUGUAGCGGGUCUGAGAGGAUGAUCCGCCACACUGGAACUGAGACACGGUCCAGACUCCUACGGGAGGCAGCAGUGGGGAAUUUUGGACAAUGGGCGCAAGCCUGAUCCAGCCAUGCCGCGUGCGGGACGAAGGCCUUGGGUUGUAAACCGCGUUUCAGCCGGAAAGAAAUACGCCGUUUUUAACUUACUAGACGGUGGAGUGACGGUACCGGAAGGAAGAAGCACCGGCUAACUACGUGCCAGCAGCCGUACGG